AGGAUGGAUAGCUAUUGCUAUUUGUAUCAGUGUUUAACUGGUACAAAAUCGACUAUGUCGAAUAAAAUUCUAGAUAGAAUUAUGAUCGUGACAUUGUCUAUCUAUGUGUCUUGGCUAAGUUAUGUGCCAGCAGCCGCGGUAAUACAUAAGAGACUAGCGUUAUUCAUCUUUAUUGGGUUUAAAGGGUACCUAGACGGCAAAUCAAGCCUCAAAAAGGGUACUAAUUUGCUAGAGUUGUGUAUGAGGGUGCUAAGAGGUACUGUAGGUGUAGAGAUGAAAUUCAGUCAUACCUAUUAUGGCACGGGUUUAGGCAAAGGCAUCUCCUUAUUAGAUAACUGACGUUGAGGGACGAAGGCUUAGUGUAACGAACAGGAUUAGAUACCCUAGUAGUCUAGGCAGACAAUGAUGAAUGUCAUAGAUUAGGUAGUUAAUAAUAUUUAAUCUAUAAAUGAAAGUGUAAGCAUUCCACCUCAAGAGUAAUUUGGCAACAUUGGAACUGAAAUCAUUAGACCGUUUCUGAAACCAGUAGUGAAGUAUGUUGUUUAAUUUGAUGUUACGCAAAAAACCUUACCACAUUUUGAAUGUUUAUAUUUUCAUAUAUUUACAAGCGUUGCACGGCUGUCUUCAGUUAAUGUCGUGAGAUUCUGGUUAGUUCCAUUAAAUUAACGUAAACCCUUACUUUUUUUAUUAAUAAAGUAGUUCCCCGCUAGAUUGGAUAUGAUAACAGGGACUAAGACAAGUCAUCAUGGCCUGAAUAUUGUGGGCUA
rnacentral:rRNA from 1 species